CAAGCAGAGCAGCGAAGCUGAUCAGCUGCGAGCUCUCCAGCUUCCCCAUGGAUGGAACUAGUUCUUGGGCUUCGGAUUAGCGGGUAGAGGAAUGAAUAAUGAACCCAAGAAUGCGAACCAAAGUUUUAAAAAUCCGGCAUUCGUGCAAGCAAAGCUUGGCCUGCCGAUCGACGCAAUCGCGGCUAUUAGCUCGAUCCCACUCCCAGCUUGGUCAUCUCGGCAGAAGAUCCUGCCGCCCGCGGCGAGCGAUGCCGACCCGGCGGUCAUCGGCAUGCCGCAUGCAUGUCGUCGAGGCUGCGCAUGCCCUGCUAUCGCCGAUGAGAUCAGAGGAGCAUAUGCACACCUCGCACGAGUCACGAAGUGGAGAGUUGGAGAUCUAUCUGUUCCAGCUGGUGUUCCAACAUACAUGUGUCCAUUCAGAUGAAAAAACUGAAAAUUUGCUCGACGAUCAAGUAAGUCUCUUAUGCCAAAGGAUCAGAUGAAGGAUGUACAAGACCAGCAGGCAAACUAAAUCGGUAUGUACAUAGGCAGGGAAUAUACACUUAUAUUACACCGGAGAAGCAAAUAAAAAGAAAGAGUAAAAAAAAAUCUAGCGCACGUACUACACGUGCCCGA